UACAUGGGGUGCAAACGUUGCUCGGAAUUAUUGGGCGUAAAGCGCACGUAGGCGGUUCGUUAAGUCGGAUGUGAAAGCCCUCGGCUCAACUGAGGAAGUGCACCCGAAACUGGCGAGCUUGAGUACGAAAGAGGAUCGCGGAAUUCCCGGUGUAGAGGUGAAAUUCGUAGAUAUUCGCAAGAACACCGGUGGCGAAGGCGGUUCUCUGGGCAUGUCCUGACGCUGAGGAGCGAAAGUGUGGGGAGCGAACAGG
rnacentral:rRNA from 1 species